UACAGAGGGUGCAAGCGUUGCCCGGAAUCAUUGGGCGUAAAGGGCACGUAGGUGGUCUCAUUUGUCUAGGGUGAAAUCCCCGAGCUUAACUCGGGAAGUGCUUUUGAAACUGUAAAGCUUGAAUGUGGGAGAGGAUCGUGGAAUUCCAGGUGUAGUGGUGAAAUACGUAGAUAUCUGGAGGAACACCGGUGGCGAAGGCGGCGAUCUGGCCCAACAUUGACACUGAGACCCGAAAGCGUGGGGAUCAAACAGG
rnacentral:rRNA from 1 species